GCUGGGUGUGGUGGUGCAUGCCUGCAAUCCCAGGGACUCAGGAGGCUGAGGCAGGAUAAUUGCAAGUUUGAGGCCAGCCUCAGCAAGAAAGUAAGGUUCUGAGACCCUGUCUUAA
rnacentral:sRNA from 1 species